GAUGAACGCUGGCGGCGUGCCUAAUACAUGCAAGUCGAGCGAACGGACGAGAAGCUUGCUUCUCUGAUGUUAGCGGCGGACGGGUGAGUAACACGUGGAUAACCUACCUAUAAGACUGGGAUAACUUCGGGAAACCGGAGCUAAUACCGGAUAAUAUUUUGAACCGCAUGGUUCAAAAGUGAAAGACGGUCUUGCUGUCACUUAUAGAUGGAUCCGCGCUGCAUUAGCUAGUUGGUAAGGUAACGGCUUACCAAGGCAACGAUGCAUAGCCGACCUGAGAGGGUGAGCGGCCACGCUGGAACUGAGACACGGUCCAGACUCCUACGGGAGGCAGCAGUAGGGAAUCUUCCGCGAUGGGCGAAAGCCUGACGGAGCAACGCCGCGUGAGUGAUGAAGGUCUUCGGAUCGUAAAACUCUGUUACUAGGGAAGAACAUAUGUGUAAGUAACUGUGCACAUCUUGACGGUACCUAAUCAGAAAGCCACGGCUAACUACGUG
rnacentral:rRNA from 1 species